rnacentral:rRNA from 1 species
UACAUAGGUCUCAAGCGUUGUUCGGAUUCAUUGGGCGUAAAGGGUGCGUAGGCGGCGCGGUAAGUCGGGUGUGAAAUCUUGGAGCUUAACUCCGAAACUGCAUUCGAUACUGCCGUGCUUGAGGACUGGAGAGGAGACUGGAAUUCACGGUGUAGCGGUGAAAUGCGUAGAUAUCGUAAGGAAGACCAGUGGCGAAGGCGGGUCUCUGGACAGUUCCUGACGCUGAGGCACGAAGGCGAGGGGAGCAAACAGG